CAGCCACUGCUCAUCAUCCCAGACUUGCAUGACGAUGUGAUCCCACCACUCAGUGCUUGUUUCCUGAGCCCAAAAGCGCCGUUCCACAGUGGUGAGCAUGU